rnacentral:rRNA from 1 species
UACCAGCUCUUCGAGUGGUGUGGAUGUUUAUUGGGCCUAAAGCAUCCGUAGCUUGCUAGGUUAGUCCCUUGCUAAAUCCACCGAAUCAAUCGUUGGAUUGCGGGGGAUACUGCUUGGCUAGGGGACGGGAGAGGCAGACGGUAUUUUCGGGGUAGGGGUGAAAUCCUAUAAUCCCGGGAAGACCACCAGUGGCGAAGGCUGUCUGCUAGAACGCGCCCGACGGUGAGGGAUGAAAGCUGGGGGGAGCGAACCGGAUUAGAUACCCGGGUAGUCCCAGCUGUAAACGAUGCAGGCUAGGUGUUUGGACGGCCACGUGCCGUUCUAGUGCCGCAGGGAAGCUGUUAAGCCUGCCGCCUGGGGAGUACGAUCGCAAGAUUGAAACUUAAAGGAAUUGGCGGGGAGCACCACAAGGGGUGAAGCUUGCGGUUU